GCGGGAGUGGCGAAACGGUAAACGCAGCAGGCUUAAAACCUGCCGUCAUUCAAUGACUUGCGGGUUCGAUUCCCGCCUCCCGCA
rnacentral:tRNA from 1 species